GACGAACGCUGGCGGCGCGCUUAACACAUGCAAGUCGAGCGAGAACCAGACCUUCGGGUCUGGGACGAGCGGCGAACGGGUGAGUAACACGUGGGUAAUCUGCCCUCGAUUCUGGGAUAGCCCGGGGAAACCCGGAUUAAUACCGGAUAGCCUCUUGAGCUCUCGGGCUCUCGAGAAAAGGUAGCUUCGGCCUCCGAUCGAGGAUGAGCCCGCGGUGGAUUAGCUUGUUGGUGGGGUAAUGGCCACCAAGGCGACGAUCCAUAGCUGGUCUGAGAGGACGAUCAGCCACACUGGGACUGAGACACGGCCCAGACUCCUACGGGAGGCAGCAGUGGGGAAUCUUGCGCAAUGGGCGAAAGCCUGACGCAGCGACGCCGCGUGGGGAAGAAGGCCUUAGGGUUGUAAACCUCUUUCAGCAGGGACGAAGCUCCGUCGGUGAACAGCCGGCUGGGGUGACGGUACCUUCAGAAGAAGCCCCGGCUAACUACGUGCCAGCCGCCGCUGUAAC
rnacentral:rRNA from 1 species